rnacentral:misc_RNA from 1 species
UAUUUAUCGGACUUCAAGCAUCAGUUCUUCUUCUUCAACACUAUCUUGGGUCUCGGUGGUUCAUUCCUCGACAGAUCCUGCCUGAGAAAUAUAGCUACUAUAGAAGGUUUGACCAGGAUACAAAUCAGGCCACAGACUGUGUUAUUUGCAUGACUGCAAUUGAUCUCACUCAGCGUUCUAAUGAUUGCAUGGUGACUCCAUGCGAUCAUUUUUUU